UCUCCGUUGGUGAACCAGCGGAGGGAUCAUUACAGGGUCGAAAGACUCCUAUAACCCCUGUGAACUUACUACAAUUACGUUUCUUCGGCGGGUUCCCCGGGUAUCCCGUGGCGUUCAGGCCGACGGCAGCCUCUAGAUUCUGUUUCUUUGCGUUGGCAUUUCGAUUAUACAAAACUAAGUUAAAACUUUCAACAACGGAUCUCUUGGUUCUG
rnacentral:misc_RNA from 1 species